rnacentral:rRNA from 1 species
GACGUAGGGCGCGAGCGUUGUCCGGAUUUAUUGGGCGUAAAGAGCUCGUAGGCGGCUUGUCGCGUCGACUGUGAAAACCCGCGGCUUAACCGCGGGCUUGCAGUUGAUACGGGCAGGCUAGAGUUCGGUAGGGGAGACUGGAAUUCCUGGUGUAGCGGUGAAAUGCGCAGAUAUCAGGAGGAACACCGGUGGCGAAGGCGGGUCUCUGGGCCGAUACUGACGCUGAGGAGCGAAAGCGUGGGGAGCGAACAGG